rnacentral:tRNA from 1 species
AAAAAUUUAGUUUAAAAAAAACAUUAGUUUGUCAAGCUAAAAUUAUUAAAAUUAAUAAUUUUUA